rnacentral:rRNA from 1 species
CCUACGGGUGGCAGCAGUGAGGAAUAUUGGUCAAUGGACGGAAGUCUGAACCAGCCAUGCCGCGUGCCGGAAGACGGCUCUAUGAGUUGUAAACUGCUUUUGUACAAGGGUAAACCUGAAUACGUGUAUUUAGCUGAAAGUACUGUACGAAUAAGGAUCGGCUAACUCCGUGCCAGCAGCCGCGGUAAUACGGAGGAUCCAAGCGUUAUCCGGAUUUAUUGGGUUUAAAGGGUGCGUAGGCGGAUUGAUAAGUUAGAGGGGAAAUGUCCGAGCUCAACUCGGGAACUGCCUCUAAUACUGUUGAUCUAGAGAGUAGAUGCGGUAGGCGGAAUGUAUGGUGUAGCGGUGAAAUGCUUAGAGAUCAUACAGAACACCGAUUGCGAAGGCAGCUUACCAAUCUAUAUCUGACGUUGAGGCACGAAAGCGUGGGGAGCAAACAGGAUUAGAUACCCCUGUAGUC